rnacentral:rRNA from 1 species
GACGAACGCUGGCGGCGUGCCUAAUACAUGCAAGUUGAGCGCUGAAGGUUGGUACUUGUACCAACUGGAUGAGCAGCGAACGGGUGAGUAACGCGUGAGGAAUCUGCCUUUGAGCGGGGGACAACAUUUGGAAACGAAUGCUAAUACCGCAUAAAAACUUUAAACACAAGUUUUAAGUUUGAAAGAUGCAAUUGCAUCACUCAAAGAUGAUCCCGCGUUGUAUUAGCUAGUUGGUGAGGUAAAGGCUCACCAAGGCGAUGAUACAUAGCCGACCUGAGAGGGUGAUCGGCCACAUUGGGACUGAGACACGGCCCAAACUCCUACGGGAGGCAGCAGUAGGGAAUCUUCGGCAAUGGACGAAAGUCUGACCGAGCAACGCCGCGUGAGUGAAGAAGGUUUUCGGAUCGUAAAACUCUGUUGGUAGAGAAGAACGUUGGUGAGAGUGGAAAGCUCAUCAAGUGACGGUAACUACCCAGAAAGGGACGGCUAACUACGU